rnacentral:rRNA from 1 species
GACGAACCGUGCGAACGUUAUUCGGAAUCACUGGGCUUAAAGCGCGUGUAGGCGGGGCGGCACGUCGGUCGCUGAAAGCCCCCGGCUCAACCGGGGAACGGGCGCCGAUACGACCGCCCUCGAGGAACGUAGGGGGACCUGGAACUUCCGGUGGAGCGGUGAAAUGCGUUGAGAUCGGAAGGAACGCCCGUGGCGAAGGCGGCACUCUGGGCCGGAACUGACGCUGAGGAGCGAAAGCGUGGGGAGCGAACAGG